rnacentral:sRNA from 1 species
GGUGCCGCCGCAACCGCCGUCUGUGCGCCCACCUCUGCUGCCGCCAUGGGGAUCUUAGAGAAGAUCUCGGAGAUCGAGAAGGAGAUCGCUCGGACGCAGAAGAACAAGGCCACUGAGUAUCAUCUGGGCCUGCUGAAAGCUAAGCUCGCCAAGUAUCGGGCCCAGCUCCUGGAACCGUCCAAAUCGGCCUCGUCCAAAGGAGAGGGCUUUGAUGUCAUGAAGUCGGGCGAUGCCCGUGUGGCGCUGAUUGGAUUUCCCUCUGUGGGUAAGUCCACAUUCUUGAGUCUGAUGACCUCCACGGCCAGCGAGGCAGCGUCCUAUGAGUUCACCACUCUGACGUGUAUUCCUGGGGUCAUUGAAUACAAAGGUGCCAACAUCCAGCUCCUGGACCUUCCUGGAAUCAUUGAAGGCGCAGCCCAAGGUGGGAGGCAGGGCAGGAAAAGGCCGUGGCCGGCAGGUGAUCGCUGUGGCGCGCACGGCUGACGUCGUCAUCAUGAUGCUGGAUGCCACCAAGGGAGAGGUGCAGAGGUCCGCAGGGUGGGGCGUGGGGCAGGCUCACAUGUCUGGGGAGGGCCGAUGUGUCCCUGAGCUCGUACUGGGCGGCCUGUGGGUGCUUGGCUCUCUCACACGUGAGAGUAGUGGUAGGACUCGUCACAGACUAAACCCAACACCACCCAGCCUAUGGCGUCUUCUCCUCAAGGCUUGUGUCCAGCCAGCACAGAGGCUUCCUGGGACCGGGGGCCAAGGGGCUUGGCCUGGCUCUGCUUCCUGUUCAGAGGCACAGGUGCCUCAUCACUGCCCAGAACCUGCCAGGAGCCCAGCCCCAAGCACAGGAGCAUUGUUCAUCCACGUCCUGGCAGAGGGGUACACCAGGCCUGCCUCCUCAGGACCAGAAGGAGUACCCUCAUGUGGUCACCUCGUGGGGGCUCCACCACUUGCCUGUGCAUGCCGAGCGUAAACCGGGCCAGUCCCCUCUGGGACUGUGGCAGAGUUUAGAAGCUCCCUGCAGCUCUAGGGCAUUGGGAAGGAGUGUUCUCCGGGUUGCUGGGGAAGGGGGUGGAGGAGA